UAAGACGUAGGGAGCGAGCGUUGUCCGGAUUCAUUGGGCGUAAAGCGCGCGUAGGCGGCUUUGCAAGUCGGGUGUGAAAACCAGAGGCUCAACCUCUGGCCUGCAUCCGAUACUGCAUCGCUUGAGGUAGGUAGGGGAGAUCGGAAUUCCUGGUGUAGCGGUGGAAUGCGCAGAUAUCAGGAGGAACACCGGUGGCGAAGGCGGAUCUCUGGGCCUUACCUGACGCUGAGGUGCGAAAGCUAGGGGAGCGAACAGGAUUAGAUACCCUGGUAGUCCUAGCCGUAAACGUUGGACACUAGGUGUGGGCGGCUAUCAACCCCGUCCGUGCCGAAGCUAACGCAUUAAGUGUCCCGCCUGGGGAGUACGGCCGCAAGGCUA
rnacentral:rRNA from 1 species